rnacentral:SRP_RNA from 1 species
AGUGGCUACACAUGAUGGUGUAUACCUGGCGUCCCAGCUAUUUGGGAGAUUGAGGUAGGAGGAUCACUUGAGCUCAGUUCUGAGCUAUGGCGCAUUAUGCUGAUCAGGUGUGUGAACCAAGUUCAGCAUAAUAUGGUGACCUCCCAGGAGCAGGGCAAGGGACAACAACAACCCAUCAGAUUGCCUAAGGAAGGGUAAAGAGGCCCAGUUCAGAAAUGGAGCAGGUCAAAACUCCCAUACUGAUCAGUAGGGGGACUGCACCUGUAAACAGCCACUGCACUUCAGCCUGGGAAACAUUGCAAAACCCUGUCACU